UUUUAUGGAGAGUUUGAUCCUGGCUCAGGAUGAACGCUGGCGGCGUGCCUAAUACAUGCAAGUCGAGCGAACGGACGAGAAGCUUGCUUCUCUGAUGUUAGCGGCGGACGGGUGAGUAACACGUGGAUAACCUACCUAUAAGACUGGGAUAACUUCGGGAAACCGGAGCUAAUACCGGAUAAUAUUUUGAACCGCAUGGUUCAAAAGUAAAAGACGGUCUUGCUGUCACUUAUAGAUGGAUCCGCGCUGCAUUAGCUAGUUGGUAAGGUAACGGCUUACCAAGGCAACGAUGCAUAGCCGACCUGAGA
rnacentral:rRNA from 1 species